GGUUUUGUAGUGUAAUGGUUAUCACGAAGGAUUCUGAUUCCUUAGACCCCGGUUCGAUUCCGGGCAAGACCU
rnacentral:tRNA from 1 species